rnacentral:lncRNA from 1 species
AUGCUGCUAAGACCAAUGUCAAAGAGCAUACCGCCUAUGUUUUCUUCCAGGAGUUUUAUGGUUUCAGGUCUGUAUAUGUAUAUAUAUGUGUGUAUGUAUAUGUAUACGUGUGUAUAUGUGUGUGUAUGUGUGUAUGUGUGUAUGCAUGUGUGUGUUACGUGUAUGCAUAUGUGUGUGUAUAUGUAUAUGUGUGUGUAUGUGUGUGUUUACGUGUGUGUAUAUGUGUGUAUGUAUACGUGUGUAUGUGUGUAUGUGUGUAUGCAUAUGUGUGUAUGUAUAUAUGUGUGUAUGUAUAUGUAUAUGUGUGUGUAUGUGUGUAUGCAUGUGUGUGUUUACGUGUAUGCAUAUGUGUGUAUGUGUGUAUGUAUAUGUAUAUGUAUACGUGUGUGUAUGUGUGUAUAUGUAUAUGUGUGUAUGUGUGUAUGCAUGUGUGUGUUUACGUGUAUGCAUAUGUGUGUAUGUGUGUAUGUAUAUGUAUAUGUAUACGUGUGUGUAUGUGUGUAUAUGUAUAUGUGUGUAUGUGUGUAUGCAUGUGUGUGUUUACGUGUAUGCAUAUGUGUGUAUGUGUGUAUGUAUAUGUAUAUGUAUACGUGUGUGUAUGUGUGUAUAUGUAUAUGUGUGUAUGUGUGUAUGCAUGUGUGUGUUUACGUGUAUGCAUAUGUGUGUAUGUGUGUAUGUAUAUGUAUAUGUAUACGUGUGUGUAUGUGUGUAUAUGUAUAUGUGUGUAUGUGUGUAUGCAUGUGUGUGUUUACGUGUAUGCAUAUGUGUGUAUGUGUGUAUGUAUAUGUAUAUGUAUACGUGUGUGUAUGUGUGUAUAUGUAUAUGUGUGUAUGUGUGUAUGCAUGUGUGUGUUUACGUGUAUGCAUAUGUGUGUAUGUGUGUAUGUAUAUGUAUAUGUAUACGUGUGUGUAUGUGUGUAUAUGUAUAUGUGUGUAUGUGUGUAUGCAUGUGUGUGUUUACGUGUAUGCAUAUGUGUGUAUGUGUGUAUGUAUAUGUAUAUGUAUACGUGUGUGUAUGUGUGUAUAUGUAUAUGUGUGUAUGUGUGUAUGNAACAUUACUUUUCUUCUGGUACAAGGGAGGACGCUUUUCACUUGGGAGUUUCAUCUCCUGCUGUGA